AAUUAGCUUGAGGGAAAUGUUCACUCUUGCUUAUGUGAAGCUUGGGUAAGGUUGUGAAUAAAUAAUUGGAGCUUGAAAUUGUGAAUACUGGAACUUGGAGGAAGCUGACUAGUUGAAUUUUGAGAGGCUGUCUUGAUUUUGAAUAAAUAGCUUUGGUCGUUACGUGGAAAUCAGCCAAGAUGCAGGUCGAGAGACAUCCCGUUAGGCGCUGGACCUCUGAGGCGAAGUGGUUACUGGGUUAUUUUGUUGUGUAGUGAUGUAUAUAUAUGUACUUAGCUUUCUCUCUGCAUAACU